AACGCAUAUUGCGCUCGAGGCUCCGGCCGAGAGCAUGUCUGCCUCAGCGUCGGGUUAAUAUCACCAACAACUAUUAUUGGUGGACCUGGCUGUUCCAGCGAAAGGCGGUGUGAAGACUAUCUUAAACCAUAGUCCUAUACACCAGUAGUCCUGCUGGAUCAGCUGAAGUUCAGAGGCUAACUAAGGACCCGUUCAAAGGGCCGCAACUGGGUAGGUGUCUGUGGUGGUAGCACCGUAACAAGUGCUAUCAUCACUACUCAUCACAAACGCUUAGUUGUUGGUCUGGGACCUUAACCGUUGGGCCCUCAAACCAGGAAACAUAACCCCCUAUUAUCUCGACCUGAGCUCAGGCAAGAACACCCGCUGAACUUAA
rnacentral:misc_RNA from 1 species